CCCCACUGAGGAUUGCACCUGGAGAGUUUCCAGUCCUCUACCAGACUCGGCUUUAGGAGGGAGAGUCAAGCAGAGGCCUGUCCAUUCCAUUCCUAGCUUGGCCAGUGGCUAGUGAGUGGAAGGCCAUCUGCAACAAGU